rnacentral:rRNA from 1 species
GAACUGAAGAGUUUGAUCCUGGCUCAGAUUGAACGCUGGCGGCAUGCCUUACACAUGCAAGUCGAACGGCAGCACGGGUGCUUGCACCUGGUGGCGAGUGGCGAACGGGUGAGUAAUACAUCGGAACAUGUCCUGUAGUGGGGGAUAGCCCGGCGAAAGCCGGAUUAAUACCGCAUACGAUCCAUGGAUGAAAGCGGGGGACCUUCGGGCCUCGCGCUAUAGGGUUGGCCGAUGGCUGAUUAGCUAGUUGGUGGGGUAAAGGCCCACCAAGGCGACGAUCAGUAGCUGGUCUGAGAGGACGACCAGCCACACUGGGACUGAGACACGGCCCAGACUCCUACGGGAGGCAGCAGUGGGGAAUUUUGGACAAUGGGCGAAAGCCUGAUCCAGCAAUGCCGCGUGUGUGAAGAAGGCCUUCGGGUUGUAAAGCACUUUUGUCCGGAAAGAAAUCCUGAGGGCUAAUAUCCUUCGGGGAUGACGGUACCGGAAGAAUAAGCACCGGCUAACUACGUGCCAGCAGCCGCGGUAAUACGUAGGGUGCGAGCGUUAAUCGGAAUUACUGGGCGUAAAGCGUGCGCAGGCGGUUUGUUAAGACCGAUGUGAAAUCCCCGGGCUCAACCUGGGAACUGCAUUGGUGACUGGCAAGCUAGAGUAUGGCAGAGGGGGGUAGAAUUCCACGUGUAGCAGUGAAAUGCGUAGAGAUGUGGAGGAAUACCGAUGGCGAAGGCAGCCCCCUGGGCCAAUACUGACGCUCAUGCACGAAAGCGUGGGGAGCAAACAGGAUUAGAUACCCUGGUAGUCCACGCCCUAAACGAUGUCAACUAGUUGUUGGGGAUUCAUUUCCUUAGUAACGUAGCUAACGCGUGAAGUUGACCGCCUGGGGAGUACGGUCGCAAGAUUAAAACUCAAAGGAAUUGACGGGGACCCGCACAAGCGGUGGAUGAUGUGGAUUAAUUCGAUGCAACGCGAAAAACCUUACCUACCCUUGACAUGGUCGGAA